rnacentral:rRNA from 1 species
GAUGAACGCUGGCGGCGUGCCUAAUACAUGCAAGUCGAGCGAAUGGAUUAAGAGCUUGCUCUUAUGAAGUUAGCGGCGGACGGGUGAGUAACACGUGGGUAACCUGCCCAUAAGACUGGGAUAACUCCGGGAAACCGGGGCUAAUACCGGAUAAUAUCUUGAACUGCAUGGUUCAAAAUUGAAAGGCGGCUUCGGCUGUCACUUAUGGAUGGACCCGCGUCGCAUUAGCUAGUUGGUGGGGUAACGGCUCACCAAGGCAACGAUGCGUAGCCGACCUGGGAGGGGGAUGGGCCACAAUGGGACUGAGACACGGCCCAGACUCCUACGGGAGGCAGCAGUAGGGAAUCUUCCGCAAUGGACGAAAGUCUGACGGAGCAACGCCGCGUGAGUGAUGAAGGCUUUCGGGUCGUAAAACUCUGUUGUUAGGGAAGAACAAGUGCUAGUUGAAUAAGCUGGCACCUUGACGGUACCUAACCAGAAAGCCACGGCUAACUACGUGCCAGCCGCCGCAGUAA